ensembl:lncRNA
CAGAAGGAGAUCAGCUUGGAGUGUGGGUAUGCCUUUAAAUAAAUGCCCAUCAGAAGUCUGAAUGAAAUCCUGAGGGAAUCCAAGGUACCAACCCUCAGAUUGGUUCACCACAAACUCUGCCCAUGAAGCACAUGGGGUCGAAUCAGAGCUGCAGCUGCAGGCCAACACCACAGCCACAGCAAUGCCAUAUUGAAGCCACAUCUGUGAUCUGCAUCACAUCUUGCAGAAUGCUGGAUCCUUAACCCACUGAGUGAGGCCAGAGAUCAAACCUGCAUCCUCAUGGACACUAUGUCAGGUUCUUAACCUGCUAAGCCAUAAGGCGAACUCCAUACACUUUUAAUUUAAACAGCACUCUUGAAGACAUUUGUAUUCAUUAUAUACAAUCCUAUAGAAGAGUCAUGCAGAAAUUUUCAUCCACAAUUUCAGGAAGAAAAAAAUGGGGGGGCUGUUUUCUUCACACUUAAAACAAACAAACAAACAAACAAACAAACAAACAAACAAACCCCCCCCUAUAUUGUGAAUGGUUCUGUGAGCAGAAGAGGAGAGAAUUUUUAGCCCAGUAUAUGAGAAAAUGCUAAAGGUCAUUCUUCAAGUACUAAUCAAGUUGUCUUUGAUCAUCCUGGGAGUGCUCUGUUUUUAAUAUACCUGUAGCAUUUUUUAUUGAUUGCCUUCAUUCUCAAUGCAUUGAAUUUUAUUAUUUGCUUUUUUAGGGAUAUGUGACUUAUUUAAAAUCCAAAUUGUUGGAGUGCCCAUAUAAUGAUUUUGACAGAGACUCUCAAAAAGUAUUUGUCAGCUCUUAUUAUUUCUUUAAUGUAGUCUCAUAAAUUUACCACUCAAAUAUUCUGUUCAAAUGGGGAAUUUCAUAUAUUAACUUUUUUUUUUUUGCCUUUUCAGGGCCACACCUGCGUCAUAUGGAAGUUUCCAGGCUAGGGGUGUAAUCAGAGAUACACUGCCAGUCUACACCACAGCCACAGCAACACAGGAUCAGAGUCAUGUCUGCAACCUACACCAUAGCUCCCAGCAAUGCCAAAUCCUUAACCCACUGAGUGAGGCCAGGGAUUGAACUUGCAUCCUCAUGGUUACUAGUUGGAUCGGUUACCACUGAGCCACAAAGGGAAUUCCAAUAUAUCAACAAUUUUUAAAGUUGCAAUACCAGAUGAGCAUGAAAUACCCUUAUAUUAACAGUGCAAUAGGGCUGUAAUCACUAGAUUAUACAGGAUCCUUAUACACAACCUGGUAAAAUUAUAGUAAUUUCUCCUGCAAAAUCCACUGAUAAUUAAAUUAAUUCCAAGAAUAACAAUGACUAAAGGUCAUUUUUCCUGGAUAACAGAGAAUCUAUAAGAGUCUAUAAGAGUCUUUAUUGUAGCAUUCUUUUGGAACAGUAAAACAAAAAAAUGCAUAAAAUAUAUGAAUAAAAAAAAAGGCUUGCAAUCAAAAGAAAACCACACAAACAUAUAUACACAUGCAUUAAAAUAGGGGAUAGAUACAUAACUUAAGUCUAAACAUAAAUAAUGAAACGCCAGGCAAGCAAUUGAAAUAUGCAUAGCUUGAUCCCAUUUCAAUUUUAAAAGCUGCAGUAUACACAUUAGACAAAUAAACUUUGGAAAUGUAUACACAGAACACUUAUUGAUCUUUUUUUCUGGAGUCAGGGUUACAGGAUGCUGUCAUUUUUGAAAUUAUGGUCUUCAAUAUGGAUUUUGUUUUAGUAGAUGUCUUAGUUUGACAGGGCUGCCAUAACAAAGUACCACAUAUUGGCUGGUUUAACAAUAGAACUUUAUUUCUUACAAUUAUGAAGGCUACAAGUCUAAGAUCAAGGUGUCUGCAGGGUCGGUUUCAUCCUAGGCCUCUUUCCUAGGUUUGUAGAUAGCUGUCUUUUCCAUUUGUCCCGACAAGACUUUCCCUCUGUGUGUGUCUGUUUCCUAAUUUCCUCUCUUUAUGAGGACACCAGUCAUAUCAGAUGAAAGCAUAUAGUAAUAACCUCACUUUAACUUAGUUACCCUUUACAGAUCCUUCUCCAAAUACACUCACAUUUUGAGCUUCUGAGGGUUAGGACUUAAACAUAUGAAUUUUGGAGCAACAAUUUUCAGUCCAUAACAGUACAUAAUACUCUAGUGAUUAAAUAAAAAUGUGUCAUUAUGAUAUGGUAUGCAUUGUUUCCUCUCAUUUAAAGAACCCCAUUUUCCUUAGAGAUGUCCCAGUAUUGAACUAUAAAACUGAGUUUCCUAAAUUUCUUAGCACAUUUCUGGACAAUGGAUUUUAAGUGAAAUUGUUGAGAAGGACUACUGUGACAGCUGGUUAUUGUCUGAGUAUGAUGGUGUGCUUCCUUUGGCAUUUCCUCUUCUCCUCCCUCUGAGUUGUGGAUGUGACAGGUGGAUUUCUAGCAUCUAUCCUAAAGAAUAAAGGGUUGCAAGAUAGAAGUAGGACACUUUGUUAUACUGUGGAGCCAGUUGGCUUGUAGAUUUAUUUUAUGUGUGGAGAAAAAAAAAUCUUAUACAUAAGCCAUUAUUAUUUGGGUUUUCUGUUAGAUGCACUGAAACACAUUCUUUAAUAAGGAGAAUUUAAGGAAGAACACCUUAAAAAUGAUCAGUUGUUUUCUGAUAUCUGAGAUAGCCCCCUUGAUGAUAUUACAAUCAAGAUUAAUAGUAGAAAUUAAGAUAUGAUUAACAUCUUCUGGCCUUUGAGAAUUUUCACAUGACAUAUGGCUAUGCAUUUGUCUAAGAAUUUCAUGGACUUAUUUUCGUAAUUCUUGGAAUUAGAAUUACAUCAUACAUUAACAUUAAUUAAUGGAGAGAAGGUUUUCCAAAAGAACUGAGGCUAUCUCCAUAUCUUCAUGUCAUAAACAGAGAUGACACACCUACAUUUUACAAUUAUUAUUAUGUGCAUCAUUUUAGUGUAGUGAACUCACCCAUAUUUAGUCCUUAUGUCACAUAGAAAAUAAAAAAAUGAUAUUAAAGGAUUGUGCAAUAGAACCUCUAGUCAAUAAUUUUUGACAAAAGUCGAAUAAAAUCUUUUAAAAUCUUAUGUACUUAUUUUUU